AGAGUUUGAUCAUGGCUCAGGAUGAAUGCUGGCGGCGUGGAUAAGGCAUGCAAGUCGAACGGGUCGCAAGACCAGUGGCAGACGAGGUAGUAAUACGCAGGUACGCACCGAAGAGUCGGGCAUAGCUAUUCGAAAGAGUAGGUAAUUCCCGAUGGUCCCUCCGGGGUAAAGGUUUUUCGCUCUUUGAGCGGCCUGCGCGGUAUCAGUUAGUUGGUUAGGUAAUGGCUGACCAAGACUAUGACACCUAGGGGAGCUGAGAGGCUGACCCCCACCGAUAGCACUGAGACACGGGCUAUACACCUACGGGUGGCUGCAGUCGAGAAUCUUCCGCAAUGGACGAAAGUCUGACGGAGCGACGCCGCGUGGUUGAUGAAGUCCUUCGGGACGUAAAGACCUUUUAUGGAGGAGGAAAUUUUGACGUUACUCCAUGAAUAAGGGGCUCCUAACUCUGUGCCAGCAGGAGCGGUAAUACAGAGGCCCCAAGCAUUAUCCGGAAUCACUGGGCGUAAAGGGUGUGUAGGCGGCUUCGUUAGUCUUCCGUGAAAGAUCUUCGGCUUAACCGAGGAGACGCGGAGGAAACGGCGAGGCUCGAGGUUGCGAGAGGUAAAGGGAACUCAUAGUGUAGGGGUGAAAUCCGUUGAUAUUAUGGGGAACACCAAAUGCGAAGGCACUUUACUGGCGCAUACCUGACGCUGAAACACGAAAGCGUGGGAAUCGAAUGGGAUUAGAUACCCUAGUAGUCC
rnacentral:rRNA from 1 species